rnacentral:sRNA from 12 species
AAGGCAUCGACAAAGUAACUCACACGAGCGAAAUCAUUGGCAGAGAAAAGUAAUGAAGGAGCCUAUAACCUUCCCUAAAGGGUAAAUACUACAUCAUGACGUCUCACAGACGGACGCUUCUUGCAUGGCAGGAUUGGCACACUGUUUCAUGUCUGUGAGCUAUGCAGCUAGUCGCCAAAGAAAGGAAGCUGUGCAGGGUGAACUCAAAAGAAAGACAUGAG